UACGUAGGGUGCGAGCGUUAAUCGGAAUUACUGGGCGUAAAGCGUGCGCAGGCGGUUUAUUAAGUCCGAUGUGAAAUCCCCGGGCUCAACCUGGGAACUGCAUUGGUGACUGGCAAGCUAGAGUAUGGCAGAGGGGGGUAGAAUUCCACGUGUAGCAGUGAAAUGCGUAGAGAUGUGGAGGAAUACCGAUGGCGAAGGCAGCCCCCUGGGCCAAUACUGACGCUCAUGCACGAAAGCGUGGGGAGCAAACAGG
rnacentral:rRNA from 1 species